rnacentral:pre_miRNA from 1 species
CAUCCGAUAACAAGUGUUGGAUAUGGAAUCAAGCACGAAUCCAACACUUCAAAUCGGAUCGU